GGGACGAACGCUGGCGGCGUGCCUAACACAUGCAAGUCGAACGAGGUCCAACCGGUGGCAACACUGGUGAAGACCGAGUGGCGAACGGGUGAGUAACACGUGAGCAACCUGCCUCGAAGACUGGGAUAAACCCCGGGAAACCGGAGCUAAUACCGGAUACCCCCACCGGGUCGCAUGGCCUGGUGAGGAAAUGGAUUCCGCUUUGAGAGGGGCUCGCGGCCUAUCAGCUUGACGGUGGGGUAAUGGCCUACCAUGGCACCGACGGGUAGCUGGUCUGAGAGGACGAUCAGCCACACUGGGACUGAGACACGGCCCAGACUCCUACGGGAGGCAGCAGUGGGGAAUCUUGCGCAAUGGGCGAAAGCCUGACGCAGCAACGCCGCGUGUGGGACGAAGGCCUUCUGGGUUGUAAACCACUUUCAGCAGGGACGAUUGUGACGGUACCUGCAGAAGAAGCCCCGGCGACUACGUGCCAGCAGCCGC
rnacentral:rRNA from 1 species